AACCUAUCUCCAUGUUGUUGAUGUUUGAACCAGGAUGUUCAUUCAGAGUCUACAUCCCCAGCCAUAUCCCCUCAACCCAUGUAUUCAAGCAGUUGUUUUUCUUCUGUGUUGCUACUCCCACAGUUUUCUCUCUGAAUGUGGAUAGUGUUCUUUCUCAUAGAUCCCGCCAAGUUGUUCAGGAUCACUGCACUGACACUAAUGGAGAAGUCCAUUACAUUCAAUUGUACCACAGUGUAUCAGUCUGUGUACAAUGUUUUCCUGGUUCUGCUCCUUUUGCUCUGCAUCACUUCCUGGAGGUUGUUCCAGUCUCCAUGGAAUCACUCCACUUUAUUAUUCCUUUUAGCACAAUAGUAUUCCAUCACCAACAUAUACCACAAUUUGUUCAGCCAUUCCCCAAUUGAAGGGCAUCCCCUCAUUUUCCAAUUUUUGGCCACCACAAAGAGUGCAGCUAUGAAUAUUCUUGUACAAGUCUUUUUCCUUAUUAUCUCUUUGGGGUACAGUCCCAGCAGUGCUAUGGCUAGAUCAAAGGGAAGACAGUCUUUAGUGCCCUUUGGGCAUAGUUCCAAAUUGCCCUCCAGAAUGGUUAGAUGAAUUCACAACCCCACCAACAAUGAAAUAAUGUCCCUACUAUGCCACAUCCCCUCCAGCAUUCAUUACUUUCCAUAGCUGUCAUGUUAGCCAAUCUGCUAGGUGUGAGGUGAUACCUCAGAGUUGUUUUGAUUUGCAUCUCUCUGAUUAUAAGAGAUUUAGAACACUUUUUCAUGUGCUUAUUAAUAGUUUUGAUUUCUUUAUCUGAAAACUGCCUAUUCAUGUCCCUUGCCCAUUUUUCAAUUGGAGAAUGGUUUGGUUUUUUGUAUAAUUGAUUUAGCUCUUUGUAAAUUUGAGUAAUUAAACCUUUGUCAGAGGUUUUUGUGAAGAUUGUUUCCCAAUUUGUUGUUUCCCUUCCGAUUUUAGUUACAUUGGUUUUGUUUGUACAAAAGCUUUUUAAUUUGAUGCAGUCAAAAUUAUUUAUUUUACAUUUUGUGACUCUUUCUAAGUCUUGCUUGGUUUUAAAGUCUUUCCCUUCCCAAAGGUCUGACAUGUAUACUAUUUUGUAUUUGCCCAAUUUACUUAUAGUUUCCUUCUUUAUGUUCAAGUCAUUCACCCAUUUUGAAUUUAUCUUGGUGUAGGGUGUGAGGUGUUGAUCCAAACCUAAUCUCUCCCACACUGUCUUCCAAUUUUCCCAGCAGUUUUUAUCGAAUAGUGGAUUUUUGUCCCAAAAGCUGGGAUCUUUGGGCUUAUCAUAUACUGUCUUGCUGAGGUCACUUGCCCCAAGUCUAUUCCACUGAUCCUCCUUUCUGUCUCUUAGCCAGUACCAAAUUGUUUUGAUGACCACUGCUUUGUAAUAUAGUUGGAGAUCUGGGAUUGCAUGGCCCCCUUCCUUUGUAUUUUUUUUUUUCAUUAUUUCCCUGGAUCUCCUGGAUCCUUUGUUCUCCAAAUGAACUUUGCUAUGUUUUUUUUUUUCUAAAUCAAUAAAGAAUUUUUUUGGAAGUUCA
rnacentral:lncRNA from 1 species